rnacentral:rRNA from 1 species
UACAGAGGGUGCAAGCGUUGUACGGAUUUACUGGGCGUAAAGCGCGUGUAGGCUGCUUCGCAAGUCGGAUGUGAAAGCCCUGGGCUCAACCCAGGAAGUGCAUUCGAAACUGCAGAGCUGGAGUCCUGGAGAGGAAGGCGGAAUUCUCGGUGUAGAGGUGAAAUUCGUAGAUAUCGAGAGGAACACCGGUGGCGAAGGCGGCCUUCUGGACAGUGACUGACGCUGAGACGCGAAAGCGUGGGGAGCAAACAGG